rnacentral:rRNA from 1 species
UACGUAGGGGGCGAGCGUUGUCCGGAUUUAUUGGGCGUAAAGAGCGUGUAGGCGGCCAGGUAGGUCUGCUGUGAAAACUCGAGGCUCAACCUCGAGACGUCGGCGGAAACCAUCUGGCUAGAGUCCGGAAGAGGAGAGUGGAAUUCCUGGUGUAGCGGUGAAAUGCGCAGAUAUCGGGAAGAACACCCGUGGCGAAGGCGGUUCUCUGGGACGGUACUGACGCUGAGACGCGAAAGCGUGGGGAGCGAACAGG